rnacentral:rRNA from 1 species
UCGGGAAUUUUGGGCAAUGGGCGAAAGCCUGACCCAGCAACGCCGCAUGAGGGAUGAAGUAUUUCGGUAUGUAAACCUCGAAAGAAUGGGGAGAAUAAAUGACGGUACCAUUUAUAAGCUCCGGCUAACUACGUGCCAGCAGCCGCGGUAAUACGUAGGGAGCAAGCGUUGUUCGGAUUUACUGGGCGUAAAGGGCGCGUAGGCGGCGCGGUAAGUCACUUGUGAAAUCUCUGAGCUUAACUCAGAACGGCCAAGUGAUACUGCUGUGCUAGAGUGCGGAAGAGGCAACCGGAAUUCUUGGUGUAGCGGUGAAAUGCGUAGAUAUCAAGAGGAACACCUGAGGCGAAGGCGGGUUGCUGGGCCGACACUGACGCUGAUGCGCGAAAGCCAGGGGAGCAAACG